CCUACGGGAGGCAGCAGUAGGGAAUCUUGCGCAAUGAGCGAAAGCUUGACGCAGCGACGCCGCGUGCGGGAUGAAGGCCCUCGGGUCGUAAACCGCUUUCAGCAGGGACGAAAUUGACGGUACCUGCAGAAGAAGGCCCGGCCAACUACGUGCCAGCAGCCGCGGUAAU
rnacentral:rRNA from 1 species